CCGGCGACCGGCGCACGGGUGAGUAACACGUAUGGAACCUGCCCGCAGCAGGGGGAUAAGCGGAAGAAAUUCCGUCUAAUACCGCGUAACAACGUUGGGAGGCAUCUCCCGAUGUUUAAAGAUUUAUCGGCUGCGGAUGGCCAUGCGGCGCAUUAGCUAGUCGGCGGGGUAACGGCCCACCGAGGCGACGAUGCGUAGGGGUUCUGAGAGGAAGGUCCCCCCACACUGGUACUGAGACACGGACCAGACUCCUACGGAAGGCAGCAG
rnacentral:rRNA from 1 species